rnacentral:rRNA from 1 species
GAUGAACGCUGGCGGCGUGCCUAAUACAUGCAAGUCGAGCGAACAGACGAGGAGCUUUCUCCUCUGACGUUAGCGGCGGACGGGUGAGUAACACGUGGAUAACCUACCUAUAAGACUGGGAUAACUUCGGGAAACCGGAGCUAAUACCGGAUAAUAUAUUUAACCGCAUGGUUCAAUAGUGAAAGACGGUUUUGCUGUCACUUAUAGAUGGAUCCGCGCCGCAUUAGCUAGUUGGUAAGGUAACGGCUUACCAAGGCAACGAUGCGUAGCCGACCUGAGAGGGUGAUCGGCCACACUGGAACUGAGACACGGUCAAGACUCCUACGGGAGGCAGCAGUAGGGAAUCUUCCGCAAUGGGCGAAAGCUUGACGGAGCAACGCCGAGUGAGUGAUGAAGGUCUUCGGAUCGUAAAACUCUGUUAUUAGGGAAGAACAAAUGUGUAAGUAACUAUGCACGUCUUGACGGUACCUAAACAGAAAGCCACGGCUAACUACGUG